GGCUGCUCAGUGAGUGCACAGGUCAGGUGACAGACGUGUGGUGUGUUCCUGUUGGGAAUCUGCCUAUGGCCAGUUUGUUUCCUAGACCCACACGCUGAGCUCCUGCCUGGGUCCCCUCCUUUGGAGUGUCCUUGGUGAUCUCUGAAGGAAUCAGAAUGAGUCUCCCCUCAGUUUUCUUGAUGCCCCUUGGGCUCUGGCUGAGUUUUUCCCCCACCCAGGUACAAGUUGGACAGAUUUCAGGGUCUUGUGAUACCUGGCCGGGCCACUGGGGGGCCCUGGGCCAGAAGACUGAGGAGCUUGGAGCCCUGAUGUCCCAUCUGCCGCACCAUCCUGCGGUCAGGAGCUGGCUGCUGGAGCAAAGCAGAGUGAGUCCCCAAGCCCCGUGGAGUCCCACGGGUUCCUUUCCCAGUGCUCGCUGUGGGUGUGACCCUGAGGUCGCAGAGAGAACACAGGAAGACGCCUCAGGACAGGAGGAAGAGGCUUACCCCGUGGAAACUGAACAGGGCCUAGCCCACCCGAGGGCCCUCCCGCAGCUGGCUCCAGUCCUCUGUCACUGGGCCACACCGAUCUUCAGCACCAGAGCUGUGCCCCCUUCAAGCCGACAUCCUUUCCUCGUUUUUCCUUUCCGUCUCAGUGAAAGCUUUUGCCUGUAG
rnacentral:lncRNA from 1 species